rnacentral:rRNA from 1 species
AGCACUUUCAGUCGUGAGGAAGGUAGUGUAGUAUUAAGCUGCAUUAUUUGACGUUAGCGACAGAAGAAGCACCGGCUAACUCCGUGCCAGCAGCCGCGGUAAUACGGAGGGUGCGAGCGUUAAUCAGAGUUACUGGGCGUAAAGCGCAUGCAGGUGGUUUGUUAAGUCAGAUGUGAAAGCCCGGGGCUCAACCUCGGAAUUGCAUUUGAAACUGGCAGACUAGAGUACUGUAGAACUGGGUAGAAUUUCAGGUGUAGCGGUGAAAUGCGUAGAGAUCUGAAGGAAUACCGGUGGCGAAGGCGGCCCCCUGGACAGAUACUGACACUCAGAUGCGACAGCGUGGGGAGCAUACAGGAUUAGAUACCCUGGUAGUCCACGCCGUAAACGAUGUCUACUUGGAGGUUGUGGCCUUGAGCCGUGGCUUUCGGAGCUAACGCGCCG